rnacentral:lncRNA from 1 species
ACAAAGACAUCCAGGAGGAUCUCACUGAAGUACAUAAGUCUUUGAUUGCUUGAUUUUCUUGGAUGCAAAGGAGAAUUUUCCCUUCCAGCAAUGAAGCCAGUAUUCCCCAAGUGCUGCAUGCAGUUUAGAAGAGCUUUAGAGAUCUCUUAGAGAUGUUUUACACACUGUGGGCUUGGCAGGCUUCUCAUUAUAAUCAUGCAAAUCUCUCUGUACUGUUUCAGCAAUGCCUCCUGGACCGGUUGUGAUCAUCUCUCAGGGUGGCAUCUUAUUUGUGCAUGCCUGAGCCUUGGUGUCUGCCAGACACACUAAAUGUGGUUAACUGCAAAGAAACUCACUGUUCUCUCACAUUUACCGUUUAUCACAAGGCCAGCAAGGUGAACUAUCUACAGGAGCUGCACGGGGACAAGUUUAGUGCCCAACAUCUUCAGAAUAACAGUACUGGAAGCAGCUGAAGGCAGGAGAAUUAACAAGUGGUGGGAGACGUAAGACCAAUUUUAGGAGCUCCAGGCUUGUUCCUUAGUUCUUAAGAAAUGUUUGAAAGAUGACUGGAGAUGCUCAUCAUGAAGGUGUUCUGUUCCUGAUUUCCACUUCCAGACAUGGAAAGACCACGCUGUGUCCAGGGAAACCGGGAGCCCUAGGAAGGACCAAGGGCUGAUGUUUCGUUUAUGGUGUGGCACCGUCCUGGAUGCCGCAGGUCAUGCGAACAUCCUGCUUGAAAGUUUCAUCUCCGUUCCGCUGUGGAGCUGAUUAAAGGACUCCUCGGCCUCUUGCAAAACCUAGCACUUAUAAAUCUCUGCUGUUGGAUGCCAUAUCCAUACUGAGGUGGUGUUAAGUCAUAAGUCCCUGGGGGUCCAUAGCAUUGCUUCAGGGAGACACAGUGGCUUUUUCCCCAAAGGUUGUUUCAACAAAUGAAUAAUUUUUAGAAGAGUUACUGAGCAGGUGGAUCUCAAGGACCAGCCAGACUCAUAGUUCAAUAUAUGGUUGUACACAUACACACCUA